GACGAACGCUGGCGGCGUGCCUAAUACAUGCAAGUAGAACGCUGAAGGAGGAGCUUGCUCUUCUGGAUGAGUUGCGAACGGGUGAGUAACGCGUAGGUAACCUGCCUGGUAGCGGGGGAUAACUAUUGGAAACGAUAGCUAAUACCGCAUAAGAGUAGAUGUUGCAUGACAUUUACUUAAAAGGUGCAAUUGCAUCACUACCAGAUGGACCUGCGUUGUAUUAGCUAGUUGGUGGGGUAACGGCUUACCAAGGCGACGAUACAUAGCCGACCUGAGAGGGUGAUCGGCCACACUGGGACUGAGACACGGCCCAGACUCCUACGGGAGGCAGCAGUAGGGAAUCUUCGGCAAUGGACGGAAGUCUGACCGAGCAACGCCGCGUGAGUGAAGAAGGUUUUCGGAUCGUAAGGCUCUGUUGUAAGAGAAGAACGAGUGUGAGAGUGGAAAGUUCACACUGUGACGGUAUCUUACCAGAAAGGGACGGCUAACUACGUG
rnacentral:rRNA from 1 species